GCCUGGGUGGCUCAGUCGGUUAAGCGUCUGACUUUGGCUCAGGUCAUGAUCUUGUGGUUUGUGGGUUCAAGCCCCGCGUCAGGCU
rnacentral:tRNA from 1 species